rnacentral:rRNA from 1 species
GACGAACCGAGCGAACGUUGUUCGGAAUCACUGGGCUUAAAGGGCGCGUAGGCGGCCUGCCAAGUCAGGAGUGAAAUCUUUCGGCUCAACCGGAAAAGUGCUUUUGAUACUGGCGGGCUAGAGGGAGAUAGGGGCAUGUGGAACUUCCGGUGGAGCGGUGAAAUGCGUUGAUAUCCGAAGGAACGCCGGUGGCGAAAGCGACGGACUGGACCUCUUCUGACGCUGAGGCGCGAAAGCCAGGGGAGCAAACGGG